rnacentral:rRNA from 1 species
GGACUACUGGGGUAUCUAAUCCUGUUUGCUACCCACGCUUUCGCGCCUCAGCGUCAGAACCGGUCCAGGUAGCCGCCUUCGCCACCGGUGUUCCUCCCAGUAUCUACGCAUUUCACCGCUACACUGGGAAUUCCACUACCCUCUCCCGGCCUCAAGCCAGACAGUUUCCAAGGCAGUUCCUCGGUUGAGCCGAGGGAUUUCACCCGGGACUUGUCUAGCCGCCUACGCGCCCUUUACGCCCAAUAAUUCCGAAUAACGCUCGCCACCUCUGUAUUACCGCGGCUGCUGGCAC